UACAGAGGUCCCGAGCGUUGUUCGGAUUCACUGGGCGUAAAGGGUGCGUAGGUGGCCUGAAAAGUUUGAUGUGAAAGCUCAGGGCUUAACCCUGAAAUGGCAUUGAAUACUGUCGGGCUGGAGGUUUGGAGGGGGGACUGGAAUUCUUGGUGUAGCAGUGAAAUGCGUAGAUAUCAAGAGGAACACCAGUGGCGAAGGCGAGUCCCUGGACAGUUCCUGACGCUGAGGCGCGAAGGCCAGGGGAGCAAACGGG
rnacentral:rRNA from 1 species